rnacentral:rRNA from 1 species
ACAUCCAACUAACGAAGCAGAGAUGCAUUAGGUGCCCUUCGGGGAAAGUUGAGACAGGUGGUGCAUGGUUGUCGUCAGCUCGUGUCGUGAGAUGUUGGGUUAAGUCCCGCAACGAGCGCAACCCUUAACUUUAGUUGCCAGCAUUCAGUUGGGCACUCUAGAGUGACUGCCGGUGACAAACCGGAGGAAGGUGGGGAUGACGUCAAAUCAUCAUGCCCCUUAUGACCUGGGCUACACACGUACUACAAUGGCCGGUACAACGGGCUGCGAGGGAGCGAUCCUUAGCGAAUCUUUAGAAGCCGGUCUCAGUUCGGAUUGCAGGCUGCAACUCGCCUGCAUGAAGUCGGAAUUGCUAGUAAUCGCGGAUCAGCAUGCCGCGGUGAAUACGUUCCCGGGUCUUGUACACACCGCCCGUCACACCACGAGAGUUUACAACACCCGAAGUCGGUGGGGUAACCCGCAAGGGAGCCAGCCGCCGAAGGUGGGGUAGAUGAUUGGGGUGA